rnacentral:rRNA from 1 species
AGAGUUUGAUCCUGGCUCAGAGCGAACGCUGGCGGCGUGCUUAACACAUGCAAGUCGAGUGCGCGCCCGUAGCAAUACGGGUGGCGCACGGCGCACGGGUGCGUAACACGUGGGUACCUGCCCUUUGAUGGGGAAUAACUCCGCGAAAGCGGAGCUAAUACCGCAUAAGAUCCGCAAGGAUGAAAGCUUCGGGCGUCGAA